rnacentral:hammerhead_ribozyme from 1 species
GCACUGCUGAAGAGUUUCAUACUAGAACGAAACAGCUGUCCAGUGC